rnacentral:tRNA from 6 species
GCCGGGAUAGUUCAGUGGCAGAACAGGUCAUUGGUAAUGACCAAACUCGAGUCCGAUUCUCGGUCCCGGCU